CUUUUCCAAGUCCCUCAACUUUCACCAGUUUUAGCCUAAAAUGCUAAAACCGCCCACUGAAAAUUUGCUCAAGAUUUGCUUUCGGGCGUCAUAAAUUUGAGCUAGAAAAUAUUUGGUGUUGGCUGAAUAUUUUGACCUUUCACCAACUAGGCUGCUGGUUUUUUGUUGAUUAUAUAGCUCUGCAGUCGAAUUCAACAAAUCAACUAAACUUGUAGAUAUUUAUUUGGAAAUUUAUUAGACAGGGGCGUGAUUCCCCUCAUCUCCACCA
rnacentral:tmRNA from 1 species